AAAGCAUGAUGAGAACAUUUCCUAAGUAUUUUCUUAAAUAUCUCCCAACUCUCAUAGAUGGAUUCUCCUUUAAACUAGGUAAAAGAAGUGAUAUCAUUUCUAAGUUU